rnacentral:rRNA from 1 species
UACGUAGGGUGCAAGCGUUGUCCGGAAUUAUUGGGCGUAAAGAGUUCGUAGGCGGCCUGUCGCGUCGAUCGUGAAAACUGGGGGCUUAACUUCCAGCUUGCGGUCGAUACGGGCAGGCUUGAGGUAGGUAGGGGAGAUCGGAAUUCCACGUGUAGCGGUGAAAUGCGCAGAUAUGUGGAGGAACACCGGUGGCGAAGGCGGAUCUCUGGGCCUAUCCUGACGCUGAUGAGCGAAAGCGUGGGGAGCGAACAGG